CAGUAGCCGCGGUAAUACGGAGGGGGCUAGCGUUGUUCGGAAUUACUGGGCGUAAAGCGUGCGCAGGCGGUUCGUUAAGACAGAUGUGAAAUCCCCGGGCUUAACCUGGGGGCUGCGCUUGAUACUUGGUUGCUUGAGUGGGGAAGAGGGUCGUGGAAUUCCCAGUGUAGAGGUGAAAUUCGUAGAUAUUGGGAAGAACACCGGUGGCGAAGGCGGCGACCUGGUCCUUGACUGACGCUGAGGCGCGAAAGCGUGGGGAGCAAACAGGAUUAGAUACCCGGGUAGUCCCUGUCUCUUAUAC
rnacentral:rRNA from 1 species